rnacentral:tRNA from 1 species
AGGUUGUAGCUCAGAGGUAGAGCACUUGCCUUGCAAGCAUGAGGCAUUGGGUUUGAUCCUCAGCACCACCUA